ACAGAGCAAUCUAGGUCGUCAAUAAUCCACUCCAUUGCCUCUAGCCAAUAUUCAGCUUCAUUUGGGGCUACUCUAGAUACACCCCUAAAAACUUCUACUCCAUUAGCCCGGAGUCGUUCCGAGAUGGAUCCCCUAUUUACUAUCCCAGUGCUAGCUCCAACAACCCUUUCUAAAACCCUUAACAUUGCUUGGGACAAAG
rnacentral:lncRNA from 1 species